CCCUUAGAUGUCCUGGGCUGCACGCGCGCUACACUGAAAGUUACGGAUUGACUUUUUACCUUGUCCGAAAUGGUCCGGGUAAUCACCUAAAAGCUUGUCAUAAUUGGAAUGGAUUAUUGUAACUAGUAAUCCUGAACGAGGAAUUCCUAGUAAGUCCCAGUCAACAGCUGGUACUGAUUACGUCCCUGCCCUUUGUACACACCGCCCGUCGCUCCUACUGAUUGGGUGAUCCGGUGAGCUGUUCGGCCAUAGCAAUGUUUCUUGAGCAGGGCAAUGAAUGUUUCGCAAACCUUGCCACUUAGAGGAAGGAGAAGUCGUAACA
rnacentral:rRNA from 1 species